rnacentral:rRNA from 1 species
CCUACGGGAGGCAGCAGUGGGGAAUAUUGGGCAAUGGGCGCAAGCCUGACCCAGCAACGCCGCGUGAAGGAAGAAGGCUCUCGGGUUGUAAACUUCUUUUCUCAGGGACGAAGAAAGCGAUGGUACCUGAGGAAUAAGCCAUGGCUAACUACGUGGCAGCAGCCGCGGCAAUACGUAGGUGGCAAGUGUUAUCCGGAUUUAUUGGGUGUAAAGGGUGUGUAGGCGGGAGCGCAAGUCCGAUGUGAAAACUCAGGGCUCAACCCUGAGCCUGCAUUUGAAACUGUGUUUCUUGAGUGCUGGAGAGGCAAUCGGAAUUCGGGGUGUAGCGGUGAAAUGCGUAGAUAUACGGAGGAACACCAGUGGCGAAGGCAGAUUGCUGGACAGUAACUGACGCUGAGGCGCGAAAGCGUGGGGAGCAAACAGGAUUAGAUACCCCAGUAGUC